rnacentral:rRNA from 1 species
GCAUAUCAAUAAGCGGAGGAAAAGAAACUAACAAGGAUUCCCCUAGUAACUGCGAGUGAAGCGGGAAAAGCUCAAAUUUAAAAUCUGGCGGUCUCCGGCCGUCCGAGUUGUAAUUUAGAGAAGCGUUAUCCGUGCUGGACCGUGUAUAAGUCUCCUGGAAUGGAGCGUCAUAGAGGGUGAGAAUCCCGUCUUUGACACGGACUACCAGUGCAUUGUGAUGCGCUCUCGACGAGUCGAGUUGUUUGGGAAUGCAGCUCAAAAUGGGUGGUAAAUGCCAUCUAAAGCUAAAUAUUGGCGAGAGACCGAUAGCGAACAAGUACCGUGAGGGAAAGAUGAAAAGAACUUUGGAAAGAGAGUUAAACAGUACGUGAAAUUGUCGAAAGGGAAACGAUUGCAGUCAGUCGCGUCUGCCGGGGGAUCAACCUUGCUUUUGCUUGGCGUAUUUCCCGGUGGGAUGGGUCAGCAUCAGUUUUGACCGCAGUUGAAAGGCUGGAGGAAUGUGGCACCUUCCGGUGUGUUAUAGCCUCCUGUCAUAUGCUGCGGUUGGGACUGAAGAACUCAGCACGCCGCAAGGGCGGGAUUCGUCCACGUUCGUGCUUA